rnacentral:rRNA from 1 species
CGUGUAGGCGGUUUCGUAUGUCUGGCGUGAAAGCCCCGGGCUCAACCCGGGAAGUGCGCUGGAAACUGCGAAACUAGAGUCUCGGAGAGGAAGGUGGAAUUCCAGGUGUAGCGGUGAAAUGCGUAGAUAUCUGGAAGAACACCGGUGGCGAAGGCGGCCUUCUGGACGAUGACUGACGCUGAGACGCGAAAGCGUGGGGAGCAAACA